rnacentral:rRNA from 1 species
UGCGUAGGCGGCCCGGGAAGUUGGGUGUGAAAUCCCUCGGCUCAACCGAGGAAUUGCGCCCAAAACUGCCGGGCUUGAGGAAGAUAGAGGCGCGCGGAACUUAGGGUGGAGCGGUGAAAUGCGUUGAUAUCCUAAGGAACACCAGUAGCGAAAGCGGCGCACUGGGUCUUUUCUGACGCUGAUGCACGAAAGCUAGGGGAGCGAAGAGGAUUAGAUACCCUCGUAGUCCUAGCCGUAAACCAUGAGCACUGGUUUGGAGGGUCCUCCAUAGCCCUCCAGACGUAGCGAAAGUGUUAAGUGCUCCGCCUGGGGAGUAUGGUCGCAAGGCUGAA